UGGGGAAUAUUGCACAAUGGGGGAAACCCUGAUGCAGCGACGCCGCGUGAACGAAGAAGGUAUUCGUAUCGUAAAGUUCUGGCCUAUGGGAAGAUAAUGACAGUACCAUAGAAGAAAGCUCCGGCUAAAUACGUGCCAGCAGCCGCGGUAAUACGUAUGGAGCGAGCGUUGUCCGGAAUUAUUGGGCGUAAAGGGUACGCAGGCGGUUUAAUAAGUCGAAUGUUAAAGAUCGGGGCUCAACCCCGUAAAGCAUUGGAAACUGAUAAACUUGAGUAGUGGAGAGGAAAGUGGAAUUCCUAGUGUAGUGGUGAAAUACGUAGAUAUUAGGAGGAAUACCAGUAGCGAAGGCGACUUUCUGGACACAAACUGACGCUGAGGUACGAAAGCGUGGGGAGCAAACAGG
rnacentral:rRNA from 1 species